GAAAUAUUAUCAUUUAUCACAAUAAUCAGGACUUCUCACAUGAUAUGUUCCUUGUGAAUAUGUAUGUUUAUUUAUUGAGAUAACACAUAUCUAUUUCUGGGCUGAAACCAUCAGGGGAGUUUUCUUUGGGCUUUUAGGAUGAGAUUGUCUGUCUUCCCUGUCAUUAAGUCUGAGUUUUGGGGGUUUCUUAAUGGUCUGCAAAUGUGAAGUGGUAAAGGCAUUAGAAGGAUUUUGGUUGAAUCAGAUUCUCUUGAUGCUGUGACUCUUAUUAAUGGUUGAUGCAACUCUGUGCACCCCUGUUUUAAUUUAGUGGAAGAAAUCAAGUGAGUUGUUUUCGAUGUUGCUCCUAACUAUUUGUUUAGAACCCUGAUGACCUUGCUCAGCUUGUGUAGUGUUGUUUCUAUGGGGCUUUGCCCCUCUAAUCCACCAAAAAAAUGUCUACUUUAGAACCCUGAUAGGGGAUGCUGACCUUGCUCAUCUGCUUCUCUUUUGUCUUCAGCUUUUAUACAAUGGGACUAGUAUGAUGCUUGCAAAAAUUUAUGGAUAAAUAUAUGAUGUAUCUGUAUCAAUCUAACUUGCCUGGUUUAUAUUACAGGGCGAAGAAUGAAUCCUCCUAUCUCAAGCAUACCUCCUAUUUCAAACAUGCCACCCACAUCCCGUUCAAGAAAAGACUAUGCAAGGAUAGACUAGCAUUUGUCCUGAUUGGGUGAAUCAGCUUGGCUUUUUUAUUAUUUAUUAUUAUUAUUAUUUUGGUUCAUGACAAGGGGAAGGGGAAAAAGGAAGAGUUUGUAUGGGGAAAAUGGAGGGGAAAAAAGGCCAGUAGCAAUGCUUUCCUACUUUCCUUACAAACCCUUCUUAUCUUUGAUCAUCUGUUGUGCUUGUGCUUGAAAAUAGUUUAUGGUUAUAGUUUGCAUGUCAUUGAUCAUUUAUUGGGGUAUUGGUAUCUACUAAUUUAAAGGCACUAUAUGGGCUGAUGUCAUAAGAAAUCUUAGGAGUUGGUCGCGUGCAUAAUGUUCUAAUAUUAAAUAUCAUUUUGCCUUUUACUGUAUUACAGCACUUUGAGUCAUCUAAAGUGCUCUCUUUUGCCUAUUAGUUUGUACUCUUAAGCAAGGGGACCCAUAUAAGUACGCUCUGUGGUUUCCCUUUCAUGAUUUCCUUCACAUUUGAACUGAACUAUUAUAUAUUUGAUUUAUUUGGUAUGCUAGAUAGCUAGCUUACCUUGAAUAUGAAUUUUGGCUAGAGGGUCUGUGAUGGAGUAUCAAUACUAUCUCUAGUGACAUGGCCAUAAUUUUAAGGUCAUUGUGUCUUAAGUUAAGAUCAUUUUUAUGUUAUAUGUUAAACUAAAUCAAUGCUCAUGAGUGGGUGGAGUGCGGAAAUUUUCAUUGGGUAGAGCUUUGAUACAUACAUUUAGUUUUGAUUAAUUCACAAUCAUGCUUUUCAUGUGAGGCGGUGUUCAUUAUUUUUACUAAUGUCAUGUUUAUAUUGUUCUUAGUAAUCAUGAAAUUAUAUUGAAGUAAAACGACAAUUUUAGAGAUAAGAACAUUUGAACAUUACUGCAUGCCAUUUUAUAAUGUAAUUGUAUUUUAUAUAUUGUGUUGAUCUAUUCUUGCCUUAAACUAGAUUUGAAUUAUAAUCGAUGAAU
rnacentral:lncRNA from 1 species